rnacentral:rRNA from 1 species
UACGGAGGGUGCAAGCGUUAUCCGGAAUCACUGGGCUUAAAGCGUGUGUAGGCGGAUCGUUAAGUGUCUUGUGAAAUCCCACGGCUCACCCGUGGAACUGCUGGGCAUACUGGCGAUCUUGGGCCAACUAGGGGCAGUCGGAACAAGCGGUGGAGCGGUGAAAUGCGUAGAUAUCGCUUGGAACGCCGAAGGUGAAAACAGACUGCUGGGGUUGCGCCGACGCUGAGACACGAAAGCCAGGGGAGCAAACGGG